rnacentral:rRNA from 1 species
UACAGAGGCCCCAAGCGUUACUGAGAAUCACUGGGUUUAAAGGGUGCGUAGGUGGUCCGUUAAGUUCGUUGUGAAAUCCCUGGGCUCAACCCAGGAAAUGCUUCGAAUACUGGCGGACUUGAGGCUAGUAGGGGUCACUGGAACUGACGGUGGAGCGGUGAAAUGCGUAGAUAUCGUCAGGAACGCCAAUGGGUGAAGACAGGUGACUGGGCUAGUUCUGACACUGAGGCACGAAAGCGUGGGGAUCAAACGGG